rnacentral:rRNA from 1 species
GACAGAGGGGGCAAGCGUUGCUCGGAAUUACUGGGCGUAAAGGGCGCGUAGGCGGGAUGGCAAGUCGGUCGUGAAAUCCCUCGGCUCAACCGAGGAACGUCGAUCGAUACUGCUGUUCUUGAGGAUUGCAGAGGAGACUGGAAUUCCCGGUGUAGCGGUGAAAUGUGUAGAGAUCGGGAGGAACACCGGUGGCGAAGGCGACUCUUUGGUCUGUAACUGACGCUGAGGCGCGAAAGCGUGGGGAGCAAACAGG